GAUGAAGAACGUAGCGAAAUGCGAUAAGUAAUGUGAAUUGCAGAAUUCAGUGAAUCAUCGAAUCUUUGAACGCACCUUGCGCCCUUUGGCUAUUCUGAAGGGCAUGCCUGUUUGAGUAUCGUGAACACCUCAACUCUCAUGGUCUGCCAUGAUGAGCUUGGACUUUGGGGGUCUUGCUGGCCUACUGUCAGCUCCUCUCAAAUGAAUCAGCUUACCAGUGUUUGGUGGCACCACAGGUGUGAUAACUAUCUAUGCUUGUGGUUUUCUGCCAGGUAACCUCCAGUGAUGGAGGUUCGCUGGAGCUCACAAAUGUCUCUCCUCAGCGAGGACAGCUUUUUGAACGUUUGAUCUCAAAUCAGGUAGGACUACCCGCUGAACUUAAGCAUAUCAAUAAGCGGAGGA
rnacentral:misc_RNA from 1 species